rnacentral:rRNA from 1 species
AGGAAUAUUGGUCAAUGGGCGCGAGCCUGAACCAGCCAAGUAGCGUGAAGGAUGAAGGUCCUACGGAUUGUAAACUUCUUUUAUAAGGGAAUAAAGUCACCCACGUGUGGGUGUUUGUAUGUACCUUAUGAAUAAGCAUCGGCUAACUCCGUGCCAGCAGCCGCGGUAAUACGGAGGAUGCGAGCGUUAUCCGGAUUUAUUGGGUUUAAAGGGAGCGUAGACGGGUCGUUAAGUCAGCUGUGAAAGUUUGGGGCUCAACCUUAAAAUUGCAGUUGAUACUGGCGUCCUUGAGUACGGUUGAGGCAGGCGGAAUUCGUGGUGUAGCGGUGAAAUGCUUAGAUAUCACGAAGAACCCCGAUUGCGAAGGCAGCCUGCUAAACCGCCACUGACGUUGAGGCUCGAAAGUGUGGGUAUCAAACAGGAUUAGAUACCCUGGUAGUCCACACGGUAAACGAUGGAUACUCGCUGUUGGCGAUAGACUGUCAGCGGCUUAGCGAAAGCGUUAAGUAUCCCACCUGGGGAGUACGCCGGCAACGGUGAAACUCAAAGGAAUUGACGGGGGCCCGCACAAGCGGAGGAACAUGUGGUUUAAUUCGAUGAUACGCGAGGAACCUUACCCGGGCUUGAAUUGCAGACGAAUUGCUUGGAAACAGGCAAGCCGCAAGGCGUCUGUGAAGGUGCUGCAUGGUUGUCGUCAGCUCGUGCCGUGAGGUGUCGGCUUAAGUGCCAUAACGAGCGCAACCCUCGUGUCCAGUUACUAGCAGGUUAUGCUGAGGACUCUGGACAGACUGCCAUCGUAAGAUGUGAGGAAGGUGGGGAUGACGUCAAAUCAGCACGGCCCUUACGUCCGGGGCUACACACGUGUUACAAUGGGGGGUACAGCAGGCAGCUACCGGGCGACCGGAUGCCAAUCCCGAAAGCCUCUCUCAGUUCGGACUGGAGUCUGCAACCCGACUCCACGAAGCUGGAUUCGCUAGUAAUCGCGCAUCAGCCACGGCGCGGUGAAUACGUUCCCG